CAUAAAAGAAGUUUGAUAGGACUCCUUCAAUCCCUAUUUUUUCAAAUAGUUUAUUUAGCAUUGGAGUUAAUUGUUUUUUAAAUGUUUGGUAGAAUUCACAUGUAAAUCCAACUGGUCCUGGGGAUUUUUUCUUAGGGAGUUGGUUGAUAGUUUGUUCUAUUUCUUUUUCUGAGAUGGGGCUGUUUAGGAUAUUUACUUCUUCCUCUGUUAGUUUGGGCAAGCUAUAUUUUUGGAGAUAUUCUUCUAUUUCAUUUAAGUUGUCAAAUUUAUUAGCAUAAAGUUGGGCAAAGUAACUCCUAAUUAUUGCUCUAAUUUCCUCUUCAUUAGUGGUGAGUUCUCCCUUUUCAUUUUUAAGACUAACAAUUUGAUUUUCCUCUUUCCUUUUUUUAAUCAGAUUUACUAAGGAUUUGUCUAUUUUGUUGGUUUUUUCAUAGAACCAACUCUUAGUUUUAUUAAUCAAUUCAAUAGUUUUUUUACUUUCAAUUUUAUUGAUCUCACCUUUUAUUUUUAGAAUUUCAAGUUUAGUGUUUGACUGGGGGUUUUUAAUUUGUUCCUCUUCUAGCAUUUUUAAUUGCAAACCCAAUUCAUGGACCUUCUCUUUCUCUAUUUUCUACAAAUAGGCCUCUAGAGAUAUGAAAUUUCCCCUUAUUACCGCUUUGGCUGCAUCCCAUACAUUUUGGUAUGAUGUCUCAUUAUUAUCGUUUUCUUGGGUGAAGUUAUUAUGUCUAUGAUUUGCUGUUUUACCCAAUCAUUCUUUAGUAUGAGAUUAUUUAGAUUCCAAUUAUUUUUUGGUCUACUUUCCCCUGGCUUUUUGUUGAAUGUAAUUUUCAUUGCAUCGUGAAAAGGAUGCAUUUACUAUUUCUGUCUUACUGCAUUUGAGUUUGAGGUUUUUAUGUCCUAAUAUAUGGUCAAUUUUUGUAUAGGUUCCAUGAACUGCUGAAAAGAAAGUGUUCUCCUUUCUGUCUUCAUUACAUUUUCUCCAGAGAUCUACCAUAUCUAACUUUUCUAGUAUUCUAUUUACCUCUUUGAUGUCUUUCUUAUUUAUUUUGUGGUUUGAUUUAUCUAAUUCUGAGAGUGCAAGGUUGAGAUCUCCCACUAUUAUAGUUUUGCUGUCUAUUUCUUCUUGCAGCUCUCUUAAUUUCUCUUUUAAGAAUUUAGAUGCUACACCACUUGGUGCAUAUAUGUUUAAUAUAGAUAGUGCUUCAUUAUCCAUGCUACCCUUUAGCAAGAUAUAGUGCCCUUCCUUAUCUCUUUUAAUUAGAUCAGUUUUUGCUUUAGCUUGAUCUGAGAUCAAGAUGGCUACCCCUGCUUUUUUUGACUUCACCUGAAGCAUAGUAGAUUUUGCUCCAGUCUUUUACCUUUAACCUGCAUGUAUCUCCCCGCUUCAGGUGUGUUUCCUGUAAACAGCAUAUUGUAGGAUUCUGGCUUUUAAUCCAUUCUGCUAACCGCUUCCUUUUUAUGGAGGAGUUUACCCCGUUCACAUUUAUGGUUAGAAUGACCAAUUCUGUAUUACUUGUCAUUUUGUUAACCCCGGUUUAUGCUUUUCUCCCUUCUUUCCCCCUUACCCUCCUUCCCAGUAUUAAGCUUGUGAGCAAGGUGAUGUUAAUUUUAAAAUAAUCUUUUAAACUAAUUUUAAAGAACAUCUUUUAUAUUUAUAUAUAUGCUAGUAAUUGAACUGUCUAUUCUUUGCUGAUUUAUUUGGUUGAGGUAAAGAAUUAAGUUCCAGUUUUCUUGCAAUAUUUCUAAUAUAAUUUUUGAAUGGGAUUUGAAUAAAUUAGCAAAUAUAAUUAUUAAACAUUUUGUUAAGUUUUGAAAAUGCAAAUAGAAAAGAAAACAAGUGCACAGUCUACUAGAGGACAUUAUAUGAGUAGUAAACAAACCUGAUGGAAAGAUUCUUUGCUAUAGGUUUGAAUAGGAUGCUUAACUUUCAGUGCUUUGUUAUUUAUGAAGCCUCUAAGAAAAGUUAACCGGGCUGUAUUGGAGAUUGAGAGCCAGAAGCCUUCUCUCCAAGACAAGAGAGAUUCAUUCCAGUUUCCACCUUGGUGCUGGCUGGAGGCUGAAGGACAAACCUUUGAAUUUGGAGACACUCGGAGGGAGCUCUUGGAACCAAGCAGAGAGAGGCCUCUAAGCUAACUGGGCUGUAUUGGAAACAGUAAAAGAUCUGAACUUUUAUCACCUGGCUGCAUUAUGAGGUGAUUAUUACUUUCAGUUGCAACUAAGGCUGCCUCCAGAAAACCUCCCUGAGAAACCUGCUCCCAGAGAGAACCAUCAUAUAUUUUAAAAAAGAAAAAGAACACCACAUUCACUUCACUCUACUUCGUUUCACAUCCCUUAAAAUUCUCUGAAAUGAUUUUGAUCAUGAUUUAAAGCCCUGUAGCCCUCUUCUAUCUAAUACUGUUUGUCCUCCCUCCGAGAAGUCAAAGUCUGAGUUAUGAACUAACUUGUUUUCUUUUGCUACUUUUUUGAUUCCUUGAUUUCGUCUCAAGAACAUUUUGUUUGUUGUGCUUUUUUGUUAUUAUUCAUGAAAAUUCUGGAGACUAUGUUGGGCGACUCUGGAUUUAAUUUAAAUCAUGGAUAGCUGAGUAAGGUCCUUUCCACCUCCAGAAAGAGACACCAUAGUAUAGUGUUUAAAGUGGAAAAUCUUGGCCUUUUUAAAAGAUCUUCAACAGAUCUCAAUUUGAUUAAGACAGCAACCAUUCAUGAUUAAAUCCAAAUUAGCAACUGAGAGAAAGAAUUUCCUCUUUUACCGAGUCAAAAAAAUAUAAAUAAAUAUACAACAAUAUUAAUAAAUCUAGGAGGGAAAGACUAAUUGGUUUUUUAUGCCAAAUAGAAAUUGCUAUUUACAUUUACUCUGAUUCGGUCAGGACCAAACAAUAACUAUUUGGGGGUUGGCCCGGAAUCCUUUGCAUACAUAUAGCUGCUUAUAUGUAUGUAUUUCUAUAUACAUGUGUAUAUAUUUGUACAUGUAUAUACAUAUAGUUAUAAUAAGGAACUUUUAAAGUGACAUCUAAUGUCAAGCUAGAUGAUUCAGAAACUGGAAUUAAAGAGGCUGGGAGAAAAAUCAACAGUCUUGAUAUGUAGUCACAAAAAGCAUCAUUACUUCCUGGCACAGUGAGAAAGAAGAAAUGGAACCAAUGUCAAAUUUUAUUUUCUUGGAGUCAGAGAUCAUUGCAGUUGGUGUCUACAGCUAAGAAACUAAAAGAUGACUAUUAGCUUGAAUUUUCCUGAGUUUUUUGCUUUUGCUCUUCUUUCGGGUUCUUUGGGGUUCUUAGACACUUUCUUGUCUCAUUUUGGUAUGAAUUCAUCCUUUCCCGCUCAUAGGUAUGUAGGAAAGUUGACUAUAUUUGGUUUUUUCCUUCCUGUACAUUAUUUAAGCAGAAGAGAACAAACAUAUGCUCACCUCCCUCCCUCUGGUGCCAUAUUCUUUUAAGCUGUAUCAGCAUCAUUGACAUCUUUGCCACAUUUUCUUAAAUCAGUAUAAUUAACAAAAUAACAAACUAAGCCCUAAUUUGAAAAAGGAUAUAUGGAAUAUGUUUCCCCAUUCUUUCUGUUCUUUCUUGCCCCUCUCUUCCCCUCCCCAUCAGUUUUUAACCUUUACAAUCAAAUAGAUUCUUUGAAUCAUUUCCUUCUCUAAUCCCCUAAUUACAUGAAUGCAUUGAGCAGACUUGUCCCCCAUUAUGUUCAUUUGGAUAUACUUUGUAAAUUUUUCUUUUGAUGUUUUCACAAGUUUCUAUUUAGAUCAUUACAUAAAAAUACUUUAUUUCUAUAUUUCGUCAGAAGGCAAUUCCUCUCCAGUAGGAUCAUGAGCAAAUUACUAUGAGUUAAAAGACUGCAUAUUUUAUUUUCUGGAAAAUACUAUUUUAAUCACUCUGGAUAACUCUUGUGUGAUUUUGAACAUGACUCUUUCUCUUUUUACCUGCUUAAAUGAGUAAAAGAACGUUUUAAAUCAAAAACUUCAGUUUUGCUUAAACUGUCCUCUCCCCCCCCCCCCAAAUACUUUUUUCUUUGGGGAGGAUACUGGUGAACAUUUUUUUCAUUUCCACUUUUUCUUUUUAUAGCAAUUUGAAAAAAUUUUUAUCCCCUUAUACAAGAAUACAUAAAAAUUUUUGCACUGAUAAUUUUUUUGUUUGAUCAUUGCAUGACCAAAGUAUAUAAAGGAUUAGUUUUUUUAUUAUUAUUUUGAGAAACAAGAGCUAACCUUUUUCUUACAAAUUUCGGGAGUAAGAGCUAUAAUGGUGUUCAAGUAAAAAACCCCAAAUGCCUAAUAAUUAUCUUUCCUUGAUCUGUUUUCUAGAGUUUUAAAAAAUAUAUACUUUGUCAUCUCAUGGAAUCUCCUUUUUCGAAUAGUCCAUUCUAAUUUUCAAGUUUGUUUCCUCAGUCUCAGAUUCUGUUCUGUACUCUUUGUGCUUAGGAUCUGGGUUGUGUGCUGCUUCCAAGACUACACGUGUUUCUCAAGCUUUCAAAGAUAUAAUGUUUUAAUUCUCAGCAACACGAGGUGUACUGACUCAAUUUCCCAUUUAUAGUGGCUAGGCUAGGCUUAACACCUAUCUGGAAGGAUCUAACGCUUCAUAAGAAUAGAAGUAUUGACCCACCUCCAUUGAGCCACUUGGGUUGAAUCCCUAAUCCAGGUCUGAGGUUAGACUAGUAACAACACUGUGAACCCAUUUUUGAUCUGAGCUUAAUCUUUGAUUUUGCCAUUGCAUUAUAAGUAAAGGCACAGUCCUGUUCCAUAGUUUCUGCCUUGGCCACUUGCCUUUUUGUUAUAUUGGUAAUUAUAUGCUUGAAGAUUAAUCCAGUAUGCUUCUUCCAAUGAGUUUUUUAUUAUAUACUAAGCUAUCAUUCUUUUUAGAUGUUUGUUGAAAUAGUUGUCCAGUACGUAUUGUUCCUGCCAAUUUUUCUGUUCACUUAAAUACCAUUUUCUAAAAACAUCUUCUAAAACGACUGUCAGCUGAUACUAUUGUUGGAAGAAUGCCAAUUAGGCAUGACUUAAUGACAUUUUCACCUCAACUCCUCUGGAAUCUUCAAAAUCUUAAGAAGAGAUGCAUCUUUCUGAUUAAAUGUUAGGGAGACUGUGUCUUUCUUGGGCCUCCAUUAAGGAACAGAUGCUCUUGGUGUCCAGCCAGCUCUUUAUUUUUCUCCACAUUAUAUCCCAAGAUUCUUCUCUUCUUCAUUUUUGUCUUCCUCUGCCCACCUGCUUUCUUUUUACUUCCAUUUAUGUGUUGAUUUCUUUCCUUAGAAGAACUGUAGGAACAGUAGAAAUACGGUGCCUGCUUGACAUAUAGCAAGCACAUAAUAAACAGACUGAUAACUAAAAUCCUGAGUAGGAGCCAAAGAAUUUACAGUAUUUUGUAUUUCUGUCUGGCACUUUGGUCUGGAAUAAAUAAUUCAACUUAUGAAUUGGUGUUUAUUGUAUUUUGUUUCAGAGGAAAGAAAAUACACAUUUGACGGAAAUUCAUGCGUUAAAUAAAUAAGCAAGCCAGCCAGGAAUGAGAUGCUUAGCAUAGAGAAGCCAUCUACAAUGCUGUAUCCCUAAAACAGCAAAAAUUAAUAAGUUGUACUGAACAGAUACAAAGGAAUAGAAAGCUUCUACAACAAUAUAGUUAAGACAUGUUAAGUCAAGAAGAAGCUUCUACUCAUCACCCUGUGCUGCCAGAGCCUCCAAAUGUAGUCAUAAACCCCUCUAGUUACCAGCAUAUCGAUGUGAAAGGUUCAUAUCACCUUGUUAGUGGCAUGGAACUACCACUAAGAAGAAGCAAGAAUCCAAGAACGUUGCAAACAAACUGGUCUGCCACAGCUGCCUAAGAAAAGAGAGAAAAUUUCCUACCCCUCUCAAGAGUAUUCUAAACAUCUUAAUCAGAAUGGACUGGAGAAGAUGCAAAAUGGAGUUGUGUAAGUAAAUAUUGAAAAUGCUACCAAACUUAUUGAUGUAGGUGGUAGCUCAGCAGGAGUAACUCGCACUUGUAUAGUGUCCGGACUAGCUUCCUGGGGGCUUCAGGAUCAGCCAGACUCAGGAUAUGGUAAAGUCCUUGGUCUUCAGCAGGAAAGUAAAGGAGGUGGGCAAACUACCACUGGGCUUGUCAAAGAUGUAUCUUGGAUUCUGGAGUCCAAAACCUCCAGCCUCUCUCCUCAGGCUGCCAUCAAGUGAUCCUGACCUCUGUCCCCCAGCCCUCCAAGUCUUCCUACAAUUAGCUCACUACCAGCUAUGAAGCAAGCACCAAUGGUGAAGAGAUCCAUCACAUCAUUAUCUCAUCUAGAUAUGUGUAUGGAGCCAUCAUCUCAUAUUUAAUAGGUAACUAGCCUUAAGUACUCUAUUGUCUCAUUGAAGCACACCUUUUUCAGAGUUUCAUUUUCUGCAAUACUGGUUUUGGAAUAGUUUGUGGUUGUCUCAUUACUAGUUAUGCCAGAAAUAUUUCAUUGAAGCAUUAACUUUUGUUAUAUGUUAUUCUCGUAUUUGUCUUGUCUGAAAGUAUGGGCCUCUUUUGUGUAAUCAUUAUUUUCAUAAUCCUUGUUAUGUAACAAACAGCUGCUUGGAAUAUUGAUAUCUAAUACAAAUUAUUGAAAUUUUUUGUAUAUUUUACUGUAACUAUGAAAACUGUUGUUUUGGUAUCCAAUAAGAGAAAUUUUUUUUUGAUAUUUUCAAGGAAGAUCCUUGCUUAACCCUGGGCAAGACAUAUUCUCUUUUCCACCUAGAACAUUUCAUUUCUAUUUAGAGAAUACAUAAAACCUAGUCUAAACAAGUUUUUAUCCUAGGGAAAAAGCUCCAUUUCUUGUACCCCUCCAUUUGACUUUAAGAUGACUCAGUGCUAUGAUUGAUGGAAGUAACCAAGUCUUAUGAUCAAGCCAUGUUCUCAGUAGUAAAAACCAAAAAAAUUUGGUCCCUUUCUUCAGUAAAUCUCUACCAAUUGGAGCUGAUGUUUAUCUGUCAAAAAAUCCCUUUUCAAAAGAGAUUUAAGACUUUCAGAGUAUCUUUAGUUAGAAAGAAAUCAUUGGUCAUCAAUUUAUUAUUAGCUAAUCUAAUUAGUAAUUUGUUAAUUAUCUGGAAAUUAUCUGAGGAUAUUUUUGGUAAUGGGGAUUUGUUUUAUUAAAGAUAAUUUCAAAAGAAAACCUAAUGCUUCUUCACAUAAUUCCUAUCACUUUACUUGGAUAGGUGGAAGUAUAUGAACUAGCCAAGAAUUGUCAGUAAACUUACCAAAAAAACACAGGCACAGAAGUUGAGGAAAGAAUAGAGUACUGACAGGAAAAAGUAAUUAAUACUCUCUGUUUUUAAAAAGCAAAUGAAAAAAGAACAUAAGAACAUUAUGAGAAGAAAAGUGUUGUGCAUGGGGAAGUUAUCAUGCACAGUAUUUUGGACUUGCCGAACUUAAUACAUUUUGUUCAGUUCUGAAUGUAAUAGAAAUAAAUCUUUCCAGAGGUAUUGAUGAAGAGAAUGAAUUAUAAAUAAGGAUAAAUUCGGAAGAAUAAAUCUUUAUUACAUGUUAAUCAAAUAUUUGAAGAGCUGCUUGGCUCUUCAGAUUUUCUUUUGUUUGAACUUGAAGUAAUAGAUUAAAAUUAUGACGGGAAAGCUGGAGAAGUGAAGCAAAGAUAGCAGAAUAACAAAGAAUUCUCUCAAUAUUUUCCUCCCAUCCAUUUCCUUCUUAUUCUUCAAUUUCCAAACAUUUAGAAUAGGUACCAUACUGAAUUCUGAUAGAGAAAUUGACAACCACAAUAAUUGAUAACAUGAUUUAGGAGAGCAACUGUUGAUACCAAAUGGUGUACUUGGGAUUCAGUAUCAAUGAUGAGGUUGUGGACCCCAUAAGUUGGAGUUUGGUCAUAUGAAAAAUUCAUAAUGACCAUUGUCUUUGGAAAAAAAUUUAUUUAGAAGAGAACAGACAAAAUGAAGGGAUAUACUAGAUAGCAAGAGUCGCAAAUAUGAAAUAGAGUGGGAAAACAUAGAGAAGAAUCAUUGAUUAAUUAAUUAAGUUAGAAAAGUUCUUCAGUGGAACUUAAAAUUAAACAGAAGAAAGGUAACAUAAUAUGUAUUGGAAUACGUUUUUCCCUGGCCGACUAAAUCCAUAGAACAGUUUAAUACUGCAGUGUUCUUACUUUGGUCUCCUUGGGGUCUCUGGGAGCAGUCUGCCUUUCAGCAGAUUAAUCACCACAAGAGUAGCCAGGAGUUAAAGUCCAAAUCCUUUAUUAUCUCUUUCAAAGUCUUGUCUCCUUUCCUGGGCCCCAGUUAGUUUUCUUAAAGACCUUUUGGAGUCUUGAUUUCAGUGGAGAAAAUUCAGGAGGACAGGCCUGCCACCACAAGAUGUGAAAUGGGAUGAAUGAAUUUGAGUCCAAGGGCUUGUAUUUCAGCAUCCAGUUUACUUAUCUUUCCUAGCUCUGAAUCUCGCUGAGGCUCCCAGCUUGUAUGCUCUACAUAGAAUAUAAAACAAUCAUUAUAUCACUAGGAAACUUAUUUGUUGUAAGUUUACAUUAAUCAUACUGAAUUUAGAGAACUAUUAAUCCCUAUCUAAGCUGGAUAACCAUUGUCUCAUCAGUUCCACUGAUUUAACAUCUUGUAAGAAUCCUUGUUUCAGAGGGCUGGCCCAUAACAUAGCACCGCAUAAGAAGACACCAUGGAAGUUCAAGCAAAAAUGGAAUGAGCUAUGGAUAAAUUUAUAUGGGAAAUUUAACCUUAGGUGUAGGAUUUCUGACUGAAUUUUUCAAAGUGUAGCAACAUACAACCUUCACAAAGGAUGAAGCCAAAACUUACAUUGAGACUAAAUUAGUCUUCAAUAUCUCUCCCUACCUGAUUUGGGAAGAAAUUUCAACAAUACUUCCAUUUUGCCUUCCAAAUGCACUUUUUACUCAGAACCUCAUCAGUAAUUACAGAGCACCUCAAGUGUGCUUCAUGAUGGACCAUCAGCAUUCUUAUAGUCACCCCACAGAAGGACCCUUGAUGCAUUCCUGCUAGAGGGCCCAUUCCCGAUUGAAUGUCGCCAUCUCAACCCUGGAUGACACCCCAGUUUUAAUCUGCUCCUGAGAUUUGUUUUCUCCAGGCUACCAACUUUGGAUUCUCAACUGCUCUUCAGCCUGGAGAACAUGGGAAGAUUGACUGGGGACAACUGACUGAGACAAACAUUCCUUAGAUGUUCUGCUGCCAUCCCCAAACUCCCACACCUCACACCUCACUUCUUGGCAUGAACCCCCCAAAAUCUCUUAUGAUCCUUGCCAGCUCGAAGCAGUUAAGAGGAGAUUGUUGCCCCUAUUAGCCCAAAUGCAUUUGGAGGUGACUGCUUGAAGAGGGAAUGAAGAGGGAAUCCCGGAACUUUGAAAAAUCCUUGAAGGAGAAAAUCUUCAAUUCUGCCUCAAUAAGAAACCCUGCCCCAAGUCCUUUUGUUCUCUUAAAUGAAUUUAAGUUUUGACUGCUUGAGGGAAGAAUGAAAUGGGUUGUGGUCCUUUAAGAAACUGUAUUUGUGAUUCCUUUAAAAUUACUCCCAACCCCUCUUGGCUGAUCUGUUCAGGAAGCCAGGACCUUUCACAAAUCCUGGUCAAAAGCAUCCCUUUGAAUUCCUAUAGGAGAUCCAGGUUUGUCCUAGCCCCCAUCGGAGCUGAGUGGACUUGGGCCAUCUCAGCCCCCAUUCUAAUGAUCUAUUUAGGGUUCCCAAUCCCCACCAAGCAGAUUCUAGCCCUCACAGAAACCAACUCAGGACUCUAUUCACAAGCCCCUUUUAGCUUUUUAGCUUAUUUCUCUUACUAUAAAAAGAGCCAAACUAAAAUCCUCUCUUUGCAGAAGUUCCAAAUAUGUUAGCUACACCAUGUUUGGCAUCCCAAGGAGCUUCUGCCCACUGGAAUACUCUUUUCCAGUGCUAUCUUCCUUUACCCUCACUUAUUUCCUAACCAGAAUUUAACCUUACUUCCAAUCCCCAUAAUAAACCUCUUUUAUCAAUCUUAAGUUUUUGGGUCUGUAAAUUCCUUUACAGGGAACCCAAGGUGUGCAGGGAAGCCAUACCUACCUGAACACCAAACUUGUCACUAGACCUCAUUUAAUUCCCUGAUCACCAGAAAUCCUCUUGUACCACAUUUCUCUUUUAAUGUCCUGACCCAGUUUUCCUAAUUGUCCUAUUCAGUUACCCUGCUUCAGGUUAUAACCAUUCCCUCUUAAUGUUUGAUAGGAUAAAGGUCUUAUAUCUUAGACCUUAGGCUAUACUUACUCCCUCUUAAUGUUUGAUGGGAUAAGGCCUUUAUCCAUUUUAGACAUUAUUAGAAUAUCAGAAGCCUCUCCAGGACUUCCCAUUAUAUCAUCCUAGGUUCCUUCCCCCAUUAGAUCAUCCCUAUCCAGGUAUCUCCCCCAUUAUGUCAUUGUUCUUGUUACCCCAUAAAAGAAUCUUGUAUCUGUCAUUCACUGCUGGAUUCUUUGAGACAAUAGUCUCAUUCAGCCCUGGGACCAAACCAUGUAUCCAUUUGGUUCCAGUGUAUCUCUCCAUUAAAUUGUUCUCUAAUCUCUA